rnacentral:rRNA from 1 species
UACGUAGGGCGCAAGCGUUGUCCGGAAUUAUUGGGCGUAAAGAGCUCGUAGGCGGUUUGUCGCGUCUGCUGUGAAAACUCGAGGCUCAACCUCGGGCUUGCAGUGGGUACGGGCAGACUAGAGUGCGGUAGGGGUGACUGGAAUUCCUGGUGUAGCGGUGGAAUGCGCAGAUAUCAGGGGGAACACCGAUGGCGAAGGCAGGUCACUGGGCCGCAACUGACGCUGAGGAGCGAAAGCAUGGGGAGCGAACAGG